rnacentral:rRNA from 1 species
CGCGUAGGUAACCUGCCUUGUAGCGGGGGAUAACUAUUGGAAACGAUAGCUAAUACCGCAUAACAAUGGAUGACACAUGUCAUUUAUUUGAAAGGGGCAAUUGCUCCACUACAAGAUGGACCUGCGUUGUAUUAGCUAGUAGGUGAGGUAACGGCUCACCUAGGCGACGAUACAUAGCCGACCUGAGAGGGUGACCGGCCACAUUGGGACUGAGACACGGCCCAA